rnacentral:rRNA from 1 species
GACGAACGCUGGCGGCGUGCUUAACACAUGCAAGUCGAACGAAGAGCGAUGGAAGCUUGCUUCUAUCAAUCUUAGUGGCGAACGGGUGAGUAACGCGUAAUCAACCUGCCCUUCAGAGGGGGACAACAGUUGGAAACGACUGCUAAUACCGCAUACGAUCUAAUCUCGGCAUCGAGGAUAGAUGAAAGGUGGCCUCUACAUGUAAGCUAUCACUGAAGGAGGGGAUUGCGUCUGAUUAGCUAGUUGGAGGGGUAACGGCCCACCAAGGCGAUGAUCAGUGGCCGGUCUGAGAGGAUGAACGGCCACAUUGGGACUGAGACACGGCCCAGACUCCUACGGGAGGCAGCAGUGGGGAAUCUUCCGCAAUGGACGAAAGUCUGACGGAGCAACGCCGCGUGAGUGAUGACGGCCUUCGGGUUGUAAAGCUCUGUUAAUCGGGACGAAAGGCCUUCUUGCGAAUAGUGAGAAGGAUUGACGGUACCGGAAUAGAAAGCCACGGCUAACUACGUG